GACGAACGCUGGCGGCGUGCCUAAUACAUGCAAGUCGAACGCAGUGGGGACGGGUGAGUAACACGUGGGUAACCUCCCAUCAGAGGGGAUAACACUUGGAAACAGGUGCUAAACCGAUACUGAUGGAUGGCCCCGCGGUGCAUUAGCUAGUGGGGGGGGUAACGGCUCACCAAGGCCACGUGGCAUAGCGGACCUAGGAGGGGGAGCGGCAACACUGGAACUGAGAAACGGCCCAGACUCCUACGGGAGGAAGCAGGAGGGAAUCUUCGGCAAUGGACGAAAGUCUGACCGAGCAAGGCCGCGUGAGUGAAGAAGGUUUUCGGAUCGUAAAACUCUGUUGUUAGAGAAGCGGUAUCUAAACAGAAAGCCACGGCUAACUACGUGCCAGCAGCCGCGGUAAUUC
rnacentral:rRNA from 1 species